ACCUGGGCUACACACGUGCUACGAAUGGUUAGGUACAACGAGUUGCGAGUCGGUGACGGCGAGCUAAUACUCUUAAAGCCAAUCUCAGUUCGGAUUGUAGGCUGCAACUCGCCUACAUGAAGUUGGAAUCGCUAGUAAUCGCGGAUCAGCACGCCGCGGUGAAUACGUUCCCGGGCCUU
rnacentral:rRNA from 1 species